UUAGCGGCGGACGGGUGAGUAACACGUGGGUAACCUGCCUGUAAGACUGGGAUAACUCCGGGAAACCGGAGCUAAUACCGGAUAGUUCCUUGAACCGCAUGGUUCAAGGAUGAAAGACGGUUUCGGCUGUCACUUACAGAUGGACCCGCGGCGCAUUAGCUAGUUGGUGGGGUAAUGGCUCACCAAGGCGACGAUGCGUAGCCGACCUGAGAGGGUGAUCGGCCACACUGGGACUGAGACACGGCCCAGACUCCUACGGGAGGCAGCAGUAGGGAAUCUUCCGCAAUGGACGAAAGUCUGACGGAGCAACGCCGCGUGAGUGAUGAAGGUUUUCGGAUCGUAAAGCUCUGUUGUUAGGGAAGAACAAGUGCGAGAGUAACUGCUCGCACCUUGACGGUACCUAACCAGAAAGCCACGGCUAACUACGUGCCAGCAGCCGCGGUAAUACGUAGGUGGCAAGCGUUGUCCGGAAUUAUUGGGCGUAAAGGGCUCGCAGGCGGUUUCUUAAGUCUGAUGUGAAAGCCCCCGGCUCAACCGGGGAGGGUCAUUGGAAACUGGGAAACUUGAGUGCAGAAGAGGAGAGUGGAAUUCCACGUGUAGCGGUGAAAUGCGUAGAGAUGUGGAGGAACACCAGUGGCGAAGGCGACUCUCUGGUCUGUAACUGACGCUGAGGAGCGAAAGCGUGGGGAGCGAACAGGAUUAGAUACCCUGGUAGUCCACGCCGUAAACGAUGAGUGCUAAGUGUUAGGGGGUUUCCGCCCCUUAGUGCUGCAGCUAACGCAUUAAGCACUCCGCCUGGGGAGUACGGUCGCAAGACUGAAACUCAAAGGAAUUGACGGGGGCCCG
rnacentral:rRNA from 1 species